rnacentral:lncRNA from 1 species
GUUGUUCUCUCUUUGACACAUUCCCCAUUUCUAAAAAAAAAUCUAAUAUAUAAAAAUGGUGUAGGGGGUUCUAUUAUUGCCCUCACCCUUUGAAGAAAUUUCAUGUUUUAAUGCUCAAAAUGUUCACAAUUGAAUUCCAUCUUUUAAAUUUAUUAAUGAUUUUUUGAAUUUUGAAAAAAAAGGGGGGGCACCAUGCCCAGAAAGAAAAAAUG